rnacentral:rRNA from 1 species
UACGUAGGGAGCGAGCGUUGUCCGGAUUUAUUGGGCGUAAAGAGCGCGUAGGCGGUUCGGUAAGUCGGAUGUGAAAACUCCAAGCUCGACUUGGAGCCUGCAUCCGAAACUGCUGUGACUUGAGUCUGGUAGGGGAACACGGAAUACCUGGUGUAGCGGUGAAAUGCUUAGAUAUCAGGUGGAACACCAGUGGCGAAGGCGGUGUUCUGGGCCAGUACUGACGCUGAGGCGCGAAAGCGUGGGGAGCGAACAGG